rnacentral:RNase_P_RNA from 1 species
GGAGCCGGCCGGGCGGCCGCGGCCUUCGGGUCGAGGAAAGUCCGGACUCCACAGGGCAGGACGCUGGUGAAAGUGCCAGGCGGGGUGACCCGCGGAAAGUGCAACAGAGAGCAGACAGCCCCGGUCCGCCGGGGUGAUGGUGAAAGGGUGAGGUAAGAGCUCACCAGCGCACCGGGUGACCGGUGCGGCUAGGCAAACCCCGUCCGGAGCAAGACCGAGCAGGAGGCAUGGGUGGCCCGCCCGCCGGCGUCGAGCCGGCAGCCUCCGGGUAGGUCGCAUGAGGCGGGCGGCAACGUCCGUCCCAGAUGGAUGGUCGCCCCCGGGCUUUUGUGCCCGGGACAGAAUCCGGCUUAUAGGCCGGCUCCACGA